GACAGCCAAAUUUCCAUGAUUCUCGAGAAACCGUGACAACUAUGUGAAAGCCCUUCUUAUUAGUGACUUGGUUUAGCGAGUUCAGCUAAUCUUCUUUAUUUUUUUCUUUUUUGGGACAACUUUUUAUCUAAUUAAUUUUUCUCUUCAUAUCAUAUGGUGUUCACAGGGUAAAUGUUACAUCUAGGCUUAAUCUGGCGAUCUGAAUUAGAUUUGAGAUAUAAACAAAUUUUUUGGGAUUUAUGUAUUGAUACACUUCACUCGGAAUUUCACACAAUCACACAUCUCUUGACUCGUUUUUUACUCAUUAUCGGUUAUCAAGAUUUUGUUUUGUUAUAGAGUGGACAAGA
rnacentral:lncRNA from 1 species